rnacentral:sRNA from 1 species
CCCAGGACUUACGUCCGGGGCUACGAUCUUUCGCCCCACCGGGGCU